rnacentral:lncRNA from 1 species
CAUCUGUUUUGGCCAUCAACAAUGCCAACUGCCUUUCCUGUUUCGGUGUCUGCUUUCUGUCACCUUUUGUGUGAGCUCUUACUGCUUGAUCUAGCAUGGCUUGGAUAGUAAUGUAAGUAUUUUGCUUAGUUAGUUGUGCUUAUACCCUGUAUGUUCUUUCUCCUCUUUGAAUUGCUGCCCGCGGAUUUGGCUUGCCACGUGAGCCUGGCUUGGUCUUCUCCCAUAUGAAUUCAAAAUAUUCCUCCUAAGGUCAGGCUCAGCACUUUGUUGCAUCUCCAAAAAUUUCUAUCUAAACAAAUCAACAAAUUCAAUAAGGAACAUUUUCCUCAAAGCCAAAUCCAAAAGUAUUAUAGAGUGCUGCAGCAUUUACUGAAAUUCUCAUGAGGUGACAGAAGAGCAUAGCACAGUACAAAACCUGUUAAAAUAUUCUCUAAUCAUCUGUCUUAUCUUCUGCUAGUCUCUCCUAUCGCCUCUUUCUUUCUCUACAAAGUAUAGCCCCACUCCCACCACAGGGUGGUGUCCCUCUGUGACUUGAGCACUGUAGUCCUUCCCCUCAGCUGCAGUGCUUCACUCCGCAAAACAAGAAACAACAACAUGGGACUUUUCUAGUACAUUCCUUGGGAAACUUGGUAUGUCCUGCUUGAAAGAAAAGCCCAAAUAAGACUGCCAAGAUCAUCCAGAGGGCUGCUGUAGUAUCCUAGGGGUCUACUCCAGUCCCUGGUUACCUCGAAUUUUCCAGUCCCUGGAUGUCUCACCAGUGAAGGUUGUGAAACAGCAAAAAUGGCAGCCUGCACCCUCCUCUGGGAGCUCCAUCCCAAGAAGAUGUUGGCACUUCUUAGGAAGGAGCCAUCCAUGUCUGAAGAGAAGAAAUGAUAAUUAACUUCAUCAUGUGGAAAGCUUUAGAAGGAAGUAUCUUGUCCUUCUGUCCAAACCCGCCUCCUCCUUACCACCCCCAAUAAAAAUAAAAGCCAAACAAAUAAAACAUUAGCAGUAGCUCUGAGUUUCUUCCUUUCACUUUUUCUCUCUCUUCAUGCCUUUUCUCCUCCAUUCCUUCCUUCUUUCAAAUCAUUUUUACUAGUUUAAGAGAAUAAUUCAAUCUAUAUUUAGAAAUCAGACUUAAAACUUCAAAAAUUAUACUGAAAUAGCUUCCCCUUAAAGGGUGAAACAGUCAUGAUAAAAAUAACAACCGAUAGAAUAAAAUAAUAUAAAAUUAGCUGAGUUUAUAGUUUCUUUUACACCUCCAUAAUUUAUGUGGAUUUGGAAAUACAGACAGUAUACUGAAAACUAAGAAGUUUUCUAUGAAUUAUGAGAAUUUGCAAUCCACAUAGGCUUAAGUCUAAUGUUAGAAGAUAAAACAAAUUGACCUUAAAUAACUUUCUGACAUAACCUCCCCAUUUCAUGGAUGAAAAACCCUAAAGCUCUCAUAAGUAAAGUGAUUUACUUCAGGACACAAACUAGUUGAUUUAGUUUGGAUGUUUGUCCCCUCCAAAUCUCAUGUUGAAAUGGAAUCCCCAGUGUUGGAGGUGGGGCCUGGUGGGAGGUGUUUGUGUCAUGGGGCAGAUCCAUUAUCCUUAUGAGCUGCUUGGUGCUAUCCUUGUGAUAGUGAGUGAGUUCUCAUGAAAUCUGGUUGUUUAAAAAUUUGUGGCACCUCCCCACCAGCCUUGCUCCUGCUCUUGCGGUGUGAUAUGCCUGCUGCCUCUUCACCUUACACCGUGAUUAUAAGCUUCCUGAGGCCUCACCAGAAGCAGUUCUUCUAUCAGGAUUUUAAGAGGGCAGGCAGAACUUUAAAGCAAAGGAAAUUGCUUGUUUUUGUGAAAUUAACCAGUCUGUUAUCAAGGCGGAGGACAAGAUACGAAUGCUAAUCAUUGUGAAGAAACUCAUUACGGAAUUUUCUCCAAUACAUAGGCAAAAGAAGUGGCUGUUAUCAUUUUGCACUAUAACCAGACAUAUAAUGCUGUUGCUCCACAUCCACGUCAGAGAUCCUUGAGGAAUCACCACACUGUCUUCCACAAUGGGUGGUACAUCCAGAAAACAGAAUAUUACUUAGUGCUAAAAAGAAAUGUGCUAUCAAGCCAUGAAAAUAUACAUGGAAAGCGCAACACGGCUGAAUAGAAACAGCUCCGUUCUGCAGCUCCCAGUUGAUCAAUGCAGAAGUUCGUAGGUCUUGAGAUCAAGAGCAACCCCAUGUGGAUCCAUGGUAGAUCACAAGAUCUGGAAGUUUGUGCCUAAUGUUGUUAUCAGAUGAGCCUUUUGGGGAUGUCCUGAAGGG